GGCUGCAGCAUCUGUAUACACCUCACACUGCUUGUGUCCUCUUCCCAUCUUUUGAGCCCUCUACUGACCUCUUUGGCUACUCUUUGACAUUACAGGUAAAAAUAAAAAAUACAACAUAAUAAACUUUUUUACGCUGUGACACCUCGGGCCAAAGGUCUUGCUACGUUGUGAUUGACACAGAUGCCAGUCCUCAUUCCUCUCUUCACCAUCCGAGGUUUGCCAUGCGUCCUGACCGCGAAGUCUUCUUAAGGGGUGUGCUGAGCCUUUGAAACGUCUUGGGUGAAAAGUUGUUUGUCACACUUUUUGACUCCACACAUACUUCGGUCCCUGAAGAAGGAAACCCGAAACGCGUUGGGCCCAGUAUUAUAUCGUGGACUCUUCACUCUUUUCCAACCACACCCCAUUAAUGUGUUGUUUUUAAACUUUUGUAUUAUACAUGUUUAUCAUAUAUUGUUUGAUACCUUUUGUUACUAUUAAACUAUUACUUAUUUCUGUAUCUACUAUGACUACUUGUACUACUGUUGCCUAAAAAGCCCCACCCUGGGGGAUCCUCCAUUUUUUCUGUUCAUCAGGGGUGUCGGCAACUAUUUGAGACCAGACUAUCAAAGAUGUUCU